UCUGUUUUGUCAAAAAGAAAAAUAAACCCCCAAAUCGAUUCUCCUCUCUAAAACCCUAGAUGGAGAGAUUGAAACGAGGAAGGAUUUCUGGGUUUGGUAUGAUUUUUCUUUUCCUUGUGAGAUUUGAAAGUUUCAAUUUUUAUUUGUGAUCAUCUUUCUGGAUUUUGGGGGGGUUGGGUUACUUCUCUGUUUUCUUGUAGAAGUCACAUGUUGCUAAAGUCUCUGAGUUUCACAGAGAAGGGAACGACUGGAACCUAUUGCUAGUGAUGUUGUUAUGAAGCUUUUGGCGAAAUGUAGCUCUGAACAGAUCGCUAUGAUUGUUGAUAUGGUUACUCAGGAGCAGUCUCAGUUUGUUAACAUAUGCUAUGAAUCACUUGGAAGUGCGGCGAUAGAGUUGUUGUUGUUGAACAUUUACCUUCGUUGUGGGGAUGAACAAGUCUCGCAUAUGGUGGCAACUAUAAGCUCUGCAGAUAUAGUUGUGAUGUUGUAGUUCCUGAUUUCCGUGGAGAUGGUAGAUGUGUUGAAAAGGUUUCCAAGUUAGGGCUUGACGUCUUUGCCCACAACAUUGAGACAUUUGAAGAGCUUCAGAGUUCUGUGCGGGAUCAUCGUGCUAACUUCAAACAGUCUCUGGAUGUGCUUAGGAUGGCUAAGGACCAUGCACAUGCAGGCACCCUAACAAAGACCUAUGUAAUGCUGGGAUGUGGAGAGACCCCUGAUCAAGUGGUCAAGACAAUGGAGAAGGUGAGAGCAGCAGGGGUUGACGUUAUGACUUUUGGCCAAUAUAUGCGACCCUCUAAGCGGCACAUGCCAGUAGCUGAGUAUGUGACACCAAAGGCCUUUGAGAGGGAUUCAUGUAUAUAGCAUCAGGGCCAAUGGUGAGGUCUUCAUACAAAGCAGGAGAGUACUACAUAAAGUCGAUGAUAGACGCUGAUCGAGUUGCUUCUCCUUCUACUUCCCCGUAGAUACUCAAGCAAGAUUACACAAUCGUAUGUGAAUUCUUUCACUUUAUUGCUUUGUUUUUUUCCUACGGUUUAUCCACAACAUUCUCAAUAAUGGUGAGAAAAUGUAAUACUAUCAUCCUCCAGUAUCAAAUGUGUGUCUAGUUUCUCUCUUUCUCAUACUAUCAUCUGAAAUUUAAGAAUUUUAUGUUUAUUUUUA